rnacentral:rRNA from 1 species
ACCUUUGUCCAUACUACCUUGAAUGCGACCAAUCUUGCCUGAUCUUGGAAGCUAAGCAGAGCUGGGUCUGGUUAGUACUUAGAUGGGAGAAUUACUUAAUCUCUCUCUAUGCCUUAGUUUUCUGAUCUAUAAAAUUA